rnacentral:rRNA from 1 species
AUUGAACGCUGGCGGCAUGCCUUACACAUGCAAGUCGAACGGCAGCACGGAGCUUGCUCUGGUGGCGAGUGGCGAACGGGUGAGUAAUAUAUCGGAACGUACCCUAGAGUGGGGGAUAACGUAGCGAAAGUUACGCUAAUACCGCAUACGAUCUAAGGAUGAAAGUGGGGGAUCGCAAGACCUCAUGCUCGUGGAGCGGCCGAUAUCUGAUUAGCUAGUUGGUAGGGUAAAAGCCUACCAAGGCAUCGAUCAGUAGCUGGUCUGAGAGGACGACCAGCCACACUGGAACUGAGACACGGUCCAGACUCCUACGGGAGGCAGCAGUGGGGAAUUUUGGACAAUGGGCGAAAGCCUGAUCCAGCAAUGCCGCGUGAGUGAAGAAGGCCUUCGGGUUGUAAAGCUCUUUUGUCAGGGAAGAAACGGUGAGAGCUAAUAUCUCUUGCUAAUGACGGUACCUGAAGAAUAAGCACCGGCUAACUACGUGCCAGCAGCCGCGGUAAUACGUAGGGUGCAAGCGUUAAUCGGAAUUACUGGGCGUAAAGCGUGCGCAGGCGGUUUUGUAAGUCUGAUGUGAAAUCCCCGGGCUCAACCUGGGAAUUGCAUUGGAGACUGCAAGGCUAGAAUCUGGCAGAGGGGGGUAGAAUUCCACGUGUAGCAGUGAAAUGCGUAGAUAUGUGGAGGAACACCGAUGGCGAAGGCAGCCCCCUGGGUCAAGAUUGACGCUCAUGCACGAAAGCGUGGGGAGCAAACAGGAUUAGAUACCCUGGUAGUCCACGCCCUAAACGAUGUCUACUAGUUGUCGGGUCUUAAUUGACUUGGUAACGCAGCUAACGCGUGAAGUAGACCGCCUGGGGAGUACGGUCGCAAGAUUAAAACUCAAAGGAAUUGACGGGGACCCGCACAAGCGGUGGAUGAUGUGGAUUAAUUCGAUGCAACGCGAAAAACCUUACCUACCCUUGACAUGGCUGGAAUCCCCGAGAGAUUGGGGAGUGCUCGAAAGAGAACCAGUACACAGGUGCUGCAUGGCUGUCGUCAGCUCGUGUCGUGAGAUGUUGGGUUAAGUCCCGCAACGAGCGCAACCCUUGUCAUUAGUUGCUACGAAAGGGCACUCUAAUGAGACUGCCGGUGACAAACCGGAGGAAGGUGGGGAUGACGUCAAGUCCUCAUGGCCCUUAUGGGUAGGGCUUCACGCGUCAUACAAUGGUACAUACAGAGCGCCGCCAACCCGCGAGGGGGAGCUAAUCGCAGAAAGUGUAUCGUAGUCCGGAUUGUAGUCUGCAACUCGACUGCAUGAAGUUGGAAUCGCUAGUAAUCGCGGAUCAGCAUGUCGCGGUGAAUACGUUCCCGGGUCU